CCCUUAGAUGUUCUGGGCCGCACGCGCGCUACAAUGAUGAAUUCAACGAGUUUAUAACCUUGGUUGAAAAGCCUGGGUAAUCUUUUGAACUUUCGUCGUGAUGGGGCUAGACCCUUGCAAUUAUUGGUCUCCAACGAGGAAUUCCUAGUAAACGCAAGUCAUCAGCUUGCAUUGAUUACGUCCCUGCCCUUUGUACACACCGCCCGUCGCUACUACCGAUUGAAUGGUUUAGUGAGGCCUCGGGACUGGCGCAGGUCGGCGGUUUCGCCCCUUGCGCCGGGAACUUGGUCAAACUUGAUCAUUUAGAGGAAGUAAAAGUCGUAACA
rnacentral:rRNA from 1 species